rnacentral:lncRNA from 1 species
UCUGAAUCUAACGGCAGAUUCCAGAGCCUCUGAGGAUAACGAAGAAAUUAUCUUCUAAAGGGAAUCUGUUUUCAGUGAAGUUAAGUAUCUCGUUACCUGGUCACUUCCAAUAAAGGGAGUAAGUUCAUGUAAUCGAAAUAUUUGGGGAAAUUUAUGCCAUUUUGUCCUGAGACAAUGAACUUCAAUUUAUUUUUAUUUUUAUUUUUUUUAGGUGUGGAGCACCUAAAAAAGAAGCAUCUUUGUAACUUCUUCCCCCUCCUAGUUUUUAAUCUUUUGUUAGCCAUAUCUUAUUUCAAGAGAGCAGACUCAGUCACAAACUGAAUUUAAGCCGUUUUUGAUGUCCUUUAUUACACUCGAUUUGGUUCAUAUCAGCCCUCCCUUAAUCAGUUGUUGUGGAAUCCCCACGAGGAGACAAACAGGAAGUGCCAGAUGGCCGAAUUGGAAUAAAACCCAAACUUCAUUCCCCGACCAAGAGCAUAGAAACAGAGAACCAUAACAGUAACAGGACUGACUGACAUCAUCCGCUCCCUAAUGAUAAAGGAGUCUUCGAGAAUAAUGAUGGCAGCUGAUAGUCAGUGAACCCGUACUCUGCAGAGUUUUCUAAGAUGCUGGAUUCAGAGUGCUCAAAUACGUUGGCACAUUUUGUGCUCGGAGCAACCUGGGGAGCAGUGAUCACUCUUUACGCUCAUUUUACAGCUCAGAAGGUAGAAGCCCAGAGAGAGCUGCCAUCAGCUCCAAUAAAGACCAUGAUUUCCACCGAGCAGAGAGACUUGGACUAGGUUGGCUAGGAAUAGGUUUUCCUAUAUACACUGUGUUUUGUUUGCCUGUUGCUCAGAUCCAAGAGAAGGUAUAGCCCUGAGCUGGUGUUGCAGAAAAUGUAAAGUUGGUUCAUUCUCCCCUCUUACACAUAAAAUACUUACUAAACACAUACGGAGCGCCAGCAAGAGAAAGAGGAGGCCUCUGGCACAAAAUAAAUGAAAGGCUCAUCCCUGUCUACCAAGAAUUUACAGUCUCGUGGGUAAGAUGUAAAGAGCACACAUAAAAAGAACCAGAGAAGACAUGAAUUUGCACUUGAUUCUUAAUUGACUUCACACAUCCACGUUCAAAGGCUGACAGUUUUCUGAGCGCUCAGGCUCUGCUGGAAGAGUCUCUAGGAGCGGUUCGGUGCCAAGAGGACUGCUCCAAAUGCAUGACCUUCCUCAGCCAGGCAGCAACAGUGUUCCAGAAGAGCUUGCAUUCGCCUGAAACCCAGAGAGAAAGGGGAAUCUAAGACCUUUGAGAGCCUCAGAUUGUCUGUCCCUGUGCUGGGUGGCCUCUAGUACAUACCAGCCACAGGCCCCCUCAGGCCUGGAAAGGUGAUUUCAGAUCAGGGCAUCAAACAUGGGGGAAAUGAUUGUCAGGCACAGUCUAUACUUUUCUUCACUGUUCAUUUGGAUUUCUGAGCACUGAAACCCAUAAGGAUGUGAGUUUGAUCUUUCUUCCUG